GACGAACGCUGGCGGCGUGCUUAACACAUGCAAGUCGAGCGGUAAGGCCCUUUCGGGGGUACACGAGCGGCGAACGGGUGAGUAACACGUGGGUGACCUGCCCUCAGCUCUGGGAUAAGCCUGGGAAACUGGGUCUAAUACUGGAUAUGACUCCACGGUGCAUGUCGUGGGGUGGAAAGCCUUGUGCGGCUGAGGAUGGGCCCGCGGCCUAUCAGCUUGUUGGUGGGGUGAUGGCCUACCAAGGCGACGACGGGUAGCCGGCCUGAGAGGGCGACCGGCCACACUGGGACUGAGACACGGCCCAGACUCCUACGGGAGGCAGUAGUGGGGAAUCUUGCGCAAUGGGCGAAAGCCUGACGCAGCGACGCCGCGUGAGGGAUGACGGCCU
rnacentral:rRNA from 1 species